rnacentral:rRNA from 1 species
UGCUCCCUGAGAUUAGCGGCGGACGGGUGAGUAACACGUGGGCAACCUGCCUAUAAGACUGGGAUAACUUCGGGAAACCGGAGCUAAUACCGGAUACGUUCUUUUCUCGCAUGAGAGAAGAUGGAAAGACGGUUUCACGCUGUCACUUAUAGAUGGCCCCGCGGCCCAUUAUCUAGUUGGUGAGGUAAUGGCUCACCAAGGCCACAAUGCGUAGCCCACCUGAGAGGGUGAUCGCCCACUCUGGGACUGACACACGGCCCACACUCCUACGGGAGGCAGCAGUAGGGAAUCUUCCGCAAUGGACGAAAGUCUCAGGGAGCAACGCCGCGUGAACAAAAAGGGCCUUCGGGUCGUAAAGUUCUGUUGUUAGGGAAAAACAAGUCCCAGAGUACCUGGGGGUCCCUUGACGGUCCCUAACCAGAAAGCCACGGCUAACUACGUGCCAGCACCCGCGGAAAUACGUAGGUGGCAAGCGUUGUCCGAAAUUAUUGGGCGUAAAGCGCGCGCAGGUGUUCCUUAAGUCUGAUGUGAAACCCCCGGCUCACCCGUGGAGGGUCUUUGAAACUGGGAACUUGAGUGCAAAAGGGAAUGUGAAUUCAAGUGUCCGGUAAAUGCUAGAUUUGGAGGAACCCAGUGGAAAGGAAUUUUUGGUCUGAACUGACACUAAGGCCAAAGCGUGGGGAGCAACGGUUAGACCCUGGUACCCCCCCAUAACAAUGAGGCUAGUUUAGAGGUUCCCCCUUUAGUGUGCACUAACAUUAAGCUCCCCCUGGGAUACGCCCCAGGUUAAACUCAGGGAUU